GACGUAGGGCGCGAGCGUUGUCCGGAUUUAUUGGGCGUAAAGAGCUCGUAGGCGGCUCGUCGCGUCGACUGUGAAAACCCGGGGCUCAACCCCGGGCCUGCAGUCGAUACGGGCAGGCUAGAGUCCGGUAGGGGAGACUGGAAUUCCUGGUGUAGCGGUGAAAUGCGCAGAUAUCAGGAGGAACACCGGUGGCGAAGGCGGGUCUCUGGGCCGGAACUGACGCUGAGGAGCGAAAGCGUGGGGAGCGAACAGG
rnacentral:rRNA from 1 species